CUGGAAUAUUGCUAAAAGCGGCGUAAAACUAAACUAAGUCAGUCAUUGUACCUCAUAAGUUAAUGAUCCCAUCUGCUUCAUGAUAGCUUUGGUUUAUCUUGAGUUUUCACUGAAAAUUGGAUCCAACAUUUAAGUCCAACGCCAAAUAACUACCAGCCACUGGUCCUAUUCAUCUCCAUCUUCUGUUUCCGACUUUUCAUUUCAUGUACAGCUGGAGGCAUUGUUUGCUCAAGCGUCGCCACAAAAUCAACAUUGUCUCAUGUGUCUUGACAUAACUAGCUUUAUGUGUUGAAAGUGUCAUGAGAUGAAGGUAGUUUAAUUAACUUUUGUUUCUUGUUCAACUGCAGCAUCGGUUGAACUUUCUGCUUAUUUCCCAUCCUCACAUAUCAACUGUGUCAUAUCUCCAUUGUGUUAUACUAAGUACCUUGAUCCAUAUAUUACCAAAGUUUCAUUUUGGAAGUCACCAUUGUAAUUUCUCUCAUCUAUAUCAACAUGGAAAUUUCUCUCGUAACACAUUGUAUUCGAGAUUACCCUUUCUCAGUAAAGUACCGACUCUACUAACGUCUCGUACUUGUGUUGAGUUAGUCCCGUUUGGGUACAGAAUCUGUACCUGAUUGAGAAAGUUUAAUCCCAAACAUAACGUGUUACAUUUGACCACUUUCUAAAUGUCAUUUGCUGUUUUCAUAGAAAUGUCUCAUUCCUUGUAUUUUGAUUGGACACUUAUUUUUAGCAUCAUGUUAUUUGAAUCAGGUUUAGUGCGAAACUAUGGUAGUGAAUUGGUCCAGGGUGUUUAAUGUAACAAAAUGGCUGUGUGAUACCAUGGAUAAUUGUCGAUGAUAUUUCUUUGUUGUGUGUAAACAUAAUGAAAUAACACUGAGCUUCAGAUGGAUCAUGUAUGCUCAACAUUCUGAAUCUCUUCAACAGGAGGAGGAUGGCUUUCAAGCCCAGCAUCUUAAUUUGAACAUUUUAAUUAAUAAGAUCAAACCCAAAUCUAACAAUCAAACUGUCAAUUUUGUAAAAAUGUGAAAUAUCUCUUUUUUUCAAGCUUGUAUUUCUUAUCAAGAGAAGACCAUCUGUAUAUAAGGCUUUUGUACAUUCUCACACAAGUGAUAAGCGACAUGCCUUUGUGGAUAUUGCUAGACGCCCUGUAGCUGGCGUGACUAGUACUCUACACUGUGAAUACACUGUACUGUAGGUGCUAGUGUAAGCUUGCCUGCGACAUGGGCAUCAGAUUCCUCAUAUAAAUGUUUAAUAUGUA